AGCGAACGCUGGCGGCAGGCCUAACACAUGCAAGUCGAACGAACCUUUCGGGGUUAGUGGCGGACGGGUGAGUAACACGUGGGAACGUGCCUUUAGGUUCGGAAUAACUCAGGGAAACUUGUGCUAAUACCGAAUGUGCCCUUCGGGGGAAAGAUUUAUCGCCUUUAGAGCGGCCCGCGUCUGAUUAGCUAGUUGGUUGAGGUAAUGGCUCACCAAGGCGACGAUCAGUAGCUGGUCUGAGAGGAUGAACAGCCACAUUGGGACUGAGACACGGCCCAAACUCCUACGGGAGGCAGCAGUGGGGAAUCUUGCGCAAUGGGCGAAAGCCUGACGCAGCCAUGCCGCGUGAAUGAUGAAGGUCUUAGGAUUGUAAAAUUCUUUCACCGGAGACGAUAAUGACGGUACCCGGAGAAGAAGCCCCGGCUAACUUCGUG
rnacentral:rRNA from 1 species